UACGUAGGGGGCAAGCGUUGUCCGGAUUUAUUGGGCGUAAAGAGCGUGUAGGCGGUUUGGUAGGUCCGCUGUGAAAACUCGAGGCUCAACCUCGAGACGCCGGUGGAAACCAUCAGACUAGAGUCCGGAAGAGGAGAGUGGAAUUCCUGGUGUAGCGGUGAAAUGCGCCGAUAUCAGGAAGAACACCGGUGGCGAAGGCGGUCUGCUGGGCAGUUGCUGACACUGAGGCGCGACAGCGUGGGGAGCAAACAGG
rnacentral:rRNA from 1 species